CCCAGACUCCUACGGGUGGCAGCAGUAGGGAAUUUUCGGCAAUGGGGGGAACCCUGACCGAGCAACGCCGCGUGAACGAAGAAGUUAUUCGUAAUGUAAAGUUCUUUUAUCAGGGAAGAAAGAGGAAUUUGACGGCACCUGAGGAAUAAGCUCCGGCUAACUACGUGCCAGCAGCCGCGGUAAUACGCAGGGAGCAAGCGUUAUCCGGAAUUAUUGGGUGUAAAGGGUGCGUAGACGGGACAGCAAGUUAGUUGUGAAAGCCCUCGGCUUAACUGAGGAACUGCAACUAAAACUAUUGUUCUUGAGUGCAGGAGAGGAAAGCGGAAUUCCUGGUGUAGCGGUGAAAUGCGUAGAUAUUAGGAGGAACGCCAGUGGCGAAGGCGGCUUUCUGGACUGUAACUGACGUUGAGGCACGAAAGUGUGGGGAGCAAACAGGAUUAGAUACCCUGGUAC
rnacentral:rRNA from 1 species